GACGAACGCUGGCGGCGUGCCUAAUACAUGCAAGUCGAGCGAAGUUUUUCUGGUGCUUGCACUAGAAAAACUUAGCGGCGAACGGGUGAGUAACACGUAAAGAACCCGCCUCAUAGACUGGGACAACUAUUGGAAACGAUAGCUAAUACCGGAUAACAGUAUUUCUCGCAUGAGAGAUAUUUAAAAGUUGGUUAUGCUAACACUAUGAGAUGGCUUUGCGGUGCAUUAGCUAGUUGGUGGGGUAAAGGCCCACCAAGGCGACGAUGCAUAGCCGACCUGAGAGGGUGAUCGGCCACACUGGGACUGAGACACGGCCCAGACUCCUACGGGAGGCAGCAGUAGGGAAUCUUCCGCAAUGGGCGAAAGCCUGACGGAGCAACGCCGCGUGAGUGAAGAAGGAUUUCGGUUCGUAAAGCUCUGUUGUUAGGGAAGAAUGGAUAUGUAGUAACUAUACAUGUAAGAGACGGUACCUAACCAGAAAGCCACGGCUAACUACGUG
rnacentral:rRNA from 1 species